rnacentral:lncRNA from 1 species
GUCCUAAGAAAAGUAGAAGUUUCAAGACCUUUAGAUCAAGAAAAAUUUUCUUCAAAUUGAAAAAGAUCUUACAGAACAAUUGAAAUACUCAGUCCAAGUGCAUAUCGACUGAACACCCUUGAGGGAGCAGCUAUUCCUCGAAUGUGAAAUGCUGACAACCUAAAGAAGUACUAUCAAUAAAGCUGUUUACAUAUAUAGUAUUCAGAAUAAAAUGAUAAAUUUUAGAAUCACAAAUUUCAGCCAACUACAAAGUAAUGGACGGUCAAUUC